AUUCGAUAUUAAUCAGUUGGUACUUACAACUAAGUAUUUACAUCAGUUUGUGUUUUAGUGACAACAGGAUUAACAAAUUGAAUCGUUUGACAAAUCAGAACCAUGAGCAAAUUAAAAGAAAUCACCGGUUACAAUAUGCAGAAGAAACAAGUUAUGAGGUUCGUCAAUCUUGACCAGUUAAAUAUGCCACCGGUGGAUCAGUUAUAUGAGCUAUGUUUCGUCGAUCACAAUGGCAAACCUUAUGUCUUUAGGAGAUUAAAACCCGAAGUUGCAGAUGAUAACUUGGACAAACUCAACUGCGAAAGUUUAUCUAUAGAUUUAAAUGACAUCAAAGAAAUUUUUAUCAAAUUAACAGAUGACCAACGAAAUAUUGUGAUGCACGUGUAUUACAUGUACAGAAAUAACAAGAAAUGUACCUAUGAGAAUGAUUCUGGGGAGGUUUGUGAAGAAAACCCAAAAAUUAUAUUGCAGGGACCGGCGGGCACCGGUAAAAGUACUAUCAUAAAUUUUAUUGAGAAAUUGAUAACGUGGGAAGAGAACAAAACAUCUGAUGCACCAAAUAAUUUAAAAGUAAUAAAAUGUGCGUUCACUGGGAAAGCUGCUUCUAAUAUUGAAGGUUUCACUUUAAAUUAUACUUUUUCAAUUCCUAUUUAUAAAACAACAAGACUUUCUAAAAAACGAAUAGAAUCUAAAAAAGAAUUAUUUAAAGACUGCAUAUUUUUUAUUUGCGAUGAAAUUUCAAUGGUUGGUGAGAGAACUAUGAGUGCAGUUAACUUGCGUUUGCAACAAAUAUUUGAUAACGAUAAAUUGUAUGGAGACAGGUUUGUCUUAUUAGUUGGUGAUUUAUACCAAAUUGAUCCAGUUAGACAACGUCCAGUUUACCCUCAAUCUAAAUUAUGGACAUGUUGUGAGUUUUAUGAAUUAACAAAGAUCAUAAGACAGCAAGAUGAAAAGUUCAUUACAGCAUUAAACAAUUUUAGAGAUUCUAAAAUGACUGAAGAAGAUAUCAAUUUGUUGAGAUCUAGAGAAAUUGAAGACUACGAUCAAGUACCAGAAUCAGUUAUUCACAUUUUUUAUCAGAAUAAAUAUGUUGAUGAGUAUAACAAUUUGAAAUUAAAUAAGUCCACUGAAAAAGAAGAAAUCGUUAACGCGGUUGAAGAUUCUGAAAACUGGAAUCCAUCUCAUUUACGUGUAAAAAUUGGUAUACGUUAUAUGAUAACAAAUAAUAUCGAUGUAGGUGAUAGCUUAGCAAAUGGUACAACUGGAAUAGUCAAAGAUUUUGAUUAUGAUAAAGACGGUGUAUCUGCAAUUUGGAUGGAAUUCCAUUCCAGCCAGAUUGGUAAAAAACUGAGGUCCGACUAUUUGAAGAUGCAUAAUAAGUCAGGUUUUGAUAACUGGGUUCCCAUACCGCGAUCAAAGAUAGUCGUUAAAUUGAUAUCAGAUCCAAAAGUUAGCAAGACUGUCGGUAAUAUGUUUCCUUUGAAAGCAGCCGAGGCUAUAACUGUUCACAAAAGUCAAGGUCAGACUUAUCAUGAGGGUGUCUGUAUACACAUUCAAGAAGAUGCGUAUGAUAAAUUACGUACUGACAAGAGUUUGCAAUAUGUUGCACUAACACGUGUUAAACGUCUUGAAGAUUUAUACAUUAUGGGGAAGUUAAAUUUUUCUUUAAUGAACAGUGCUAAAUUUAAUCGCACCGAACAAGAAAUAAACAGACUGCGGAAUGAAAAGAAACUUAAAUUAGCAUAUGAAACCUUUGAGGAUAAUACUGGGGAUGUUAUAAUUUAUUUAAAUACGGGAUUAACAUUUAACGAACAUUACCAAUUCGUUACUAGUGACAAAUGGUACGACAAUGCUUCGCUACUAAUAUUUUCAGAAACAAACACUAUAGGAUCGGAUAUAAUUGAAAUACCAAAUUUUGAGAUAGCUUUUCGUUCAGAUAAUGAUACCGCUUUGAGGUCAGGUGGGGGAAUAAUUUGCUAUAAAAAGGAAAAUAAAUUGAUAGAUGUUAUUAGUUCCAUGUUAGAUGACGAAAACAAAAUGUAUUUGACAUUAUUUUCAUACGAGAAUUCUUUAUACAUUGUAACAGGUGUAAAAGGAGACUUAAGUGACGAUGAUUUUAUUGAAGCAAUCAAAAAUUUUAUACUUAAGUAUGUACGAAAUGAAAAAUGUAUAUUUCUCGUUGGAAAUAUUAUUAUGUCACCUUCAUUAAUCAAUUUUUUUAAUAAUUUUAACAUAAAUACGGAAUUAUCGUGCAGCAUUUCAAAUGAGGAAACCAAGUGUGAUGUAGUGCUUUCCCGAAAUAUUAGAAUUAACAGGGAUCAAAUGGGAUUCUAUCAGUACAUACCCGCACCUCAUCAGCCAAUUUUCGUCAAGUUACCUCCUAAGUGCGAAUUGUCAGAGAGUCAUGGUGACUCUCAAUCUUAUUACAGCCAGUCUCAAACCUCGACUGAUGAAUCUCGAUCUGUGAUCAGCGAGUCUCAAGACUCUCAAGGCACGUAUAGUGAGACUCAAUCGGAAAAUAGUCAGACUAGUAGCUCACAGCCUUGGUCCCAACCCAUGGAAAUGGAUAAUUUUUAAAAUUCUUACAAAUUGUGAUUUGUGAUUAGAUAAUUCUGAAAGUUAUUUAAUUUUUAGCUUUUAAAUUAAUUUUUACCUAGCUCUGUGUUUAUUGUUUUGUUAGAAAUAUGAAAAAAGACGAAUUCAAGGAAUUUGAUUACCUCACUUGAGGUUCGGCCAAACUAACGCGUGCAGCCCCUGCGCCUGCGAUGGCGACGGCGAUCAGUAGAAAUUAGUAGGAUCGCCAUCGCCAUCGUGCUUCGUUGCAUAGGUAUAAUAAAAAUCUUGAAGAUAUAAACUGCAUAAAAAGUGUAGAGUGAAUAGUUUAUAAAUAUAUUUAGAUUAAAUAGUUAGUAACCAAAAUCAGAGCAUUUGAUUCUUCGAUGACGAAAAAGCUGUGUAUUUAUUUGAAGCGCAUGGAAUGUUGGAUCUAAAGGAAGACUGGCGUUUGGCGUUGGCAUAACGGAAUCCCGCCUCCCGUUUAUGCGAAUUCAAAUUAUACGGAACAGCGAAUGAUUCGAAUACUUUUAUUUACGCUAUUUUGUGUCAAAUAAUGUUUAAUUUACGAGGGUUUCGGAUUCCCGACAUUUAUUACGAUCAGCGGAGGAUUAAAUUUCAAUAUACGAGCCAUUUAUACAGCAUCUAAGCUUCUUUUGCGCGCUGUGAUAAGUUGUCUAUCACAUAAAGGCGAAAGAUAAAAUACCUACUAUUUUUAUCGUUUUACCAGUGUAGACGGACUUAAUAAUAUUAUCAACUAUUAUUGUAUUAUUAUUUAACUGAAUCCAAAUGUAUCUAGGUUAAGUUUUGUUAAAAGUAAUAAAUGUAUUUUUAUCAAUUAAAUUAAUAUUAUUAUGUGUAGGUACUCUUAUAAUAAAAUAGAUAAGUCGUAGUCAAUAUACUAUUAGUGAUAGAGCCUGGCUAUAAAAUAAGAAUAAAUAAAAUUAACUACAACUGUCAA